AACGAACGCUGGCGGCAUGCCUAACACAUGCAAGUCGAACGAGACCUUCGGGUCUAGUGGCGCACGGGUGCGUAACGCGUGGGAAUCUGCCCUUGGGUUCGGAAUAACUCAGAGAAAUUUGAGCUAAUACCGAAUGAUGUCGCAAGACCAAAGAUUUAUCGCCCAAGGAUGAGCCCGCGUAGGAUUAGCUUGUUGGUGAGGUAAAAGCUCACCAAGGCGACGAUCCUUAGCUGGUCUGAGAGGAUGAUCAGCCACACUGGGACUGAGACACGGCCCAGACUCCUACGGGAGGCAGCAGUGGGGAAUAUUGGACAAUGGGCGAAAGCCUGAUCCAGCAAUGCCGCGUGAGUGAUGAAGGCCUUAGGGUUGUAAAGCUCUUUUACCAGGGAUGAUAAUGACAGUACCUGGAGAAUAAGCUCCGGCUAACUCCGUGCCAGCAGCCGCGGUUAAAG
rnacentral:rRNA from 1 species